rnacentral:rRNA from 1 species
GGACAGGUGGUGCAUGGUUGUCGUCAGCUCGUGUCGUGAGAUGUUGGUUAAGUCCCGCAACGAGCGCAACCCUAUUGCUAGUUACCAUCAUUAAGUUGGGGACUCUAGCGAGACUGCCAGUGAUAAACUGGAGGAAGGUGGGGAUGACGUCAAAUCAUCAUGCCCCUUAUGACCUGGGCUACAAACGUGAUACAAUGGCUGGAACAAAGGGAUGCGAAGCAGUGAUGUGGAGCGAAACCCAUAAAAACAGUCUCAGUUCGGAUUGAAGUCUGCAACUCGACUUCAUGAAGUCGGAAUCGCUAGUAAUCGCGGAUCAGAACGCCGCGGUGAAUACGUUCUCGGGGUUU